rnacentral:tRNA from 1 species
CGGGACAUGGCCCAGUUGGUAAGGCGCCUGCUUUGGGAGCAGGAGAUCGCAGGUUCGAGUCCUGCUGUCCCGA